GCGAAGGUGGCGGAAUUGGUAGACGCGCUAGCUUCAGGUGUUAGUGUCCUUACGGACGUGGGGGUUCAAAUCCCCCCCCCCUCGCACCA
rnacentral:tRNA from 1 species